rnacentral:rRNA from 1 species
UACGGAGGGAGCUAGCGUUGUUCGGAAUCACUGGGCGUAAAGCGUACGUAGGCGGCUUUGCAAGUUAGAGGUGAAAGCCCGGGGCUCAACUCCGGAACUGCCUUUAAAACUGCGAUGCUUGAAUCUGGGAGAGGUGAGUGGAAUUCCGAGUGUAGAGGUGAAAUUCGUAGAUAUUCGGAAGAACACCAGUGGCGAAGGCGGCUCACUGGACCAGUAUUGACGCUGAGGUACGAAAGCGUGGGGAGCAAACAGG